CCUACGGGAGGCAGCAGUGAGGAAUAUUGGUCAAUGGACGAGAGUCUGAACCAGCCAAGUAGCGUGAAGGAUGACUGCCCUAUGGGUUGUAAACUUCUUUUAUAUGGGAAUAAAACGUUCCACGUGUGGGAUUUUGUAUGUACCAUAUGAAUAAGGAUCGGCUAACUCCGUGCCAGCAGCCGCGGUAAUACGGAGGAUCCGAGCGUUAUCCGGGUUUAUUGGGUUUAAAGGGAGCGUAGGUGGAUUGUUAAGUCAGUUGUGAAAGUUUGCGGCUCAACCGUAAAAUUGCAGUUGAAACUGGCAGUCUUGAGUACAGUAGAGGUGGGCGGAAUUCGUGGUGUAGCGGUGAAAUGCUUAGAUAUCACGAAGAACUCCGAUUGUGAAGGCAGUUCACUGGACUGCAACUGACACUGAGGCUCGAAAGUGUGGGUAUCAAACAGGAUUAGAUACCCCUGUAGUC
rnacentral:rRNA from 1 species